AAUUUGUAUCUAAGAACCACACGGGACAGGUGCGUGCCAAACCAAGGUACAGGGUGGUGAGGCUGGAGUCCCUGUCCCGCUUGGGCAAGCCCCAGACAGGACACCUGUGCUCCUCGUGGUGGGUGUGGGUGAGAGGCCCUGACUGCACUGUUGUAGUGGCGUGUGAAGGAGACCCUCAGUACUCACCCUGUUCAUUUUAAUAAUAAAACAUGGCUUUCCUUCUUCAAAGCCGAAGUUGGGAUCCGCCAGGCCUGAGCAGUUCUGCAGCAUAUCUGCCGUGAACUUGCAGGAGAACUUGGUGUGGUUGGGAGCGCGGAAACUCUCCUGGAAGAAGUACUGCUCGGAGGUGCAGUUGAUGCUGUCCUCCUGGGCUGCUGGAGAGUAGCCUGCAGACGGACGCACCUGCCAGCCCUGUCCUGCCCUGGCCCUGACGCCUGGCUGCCCCCCGGGAAGGCCUUGCAAGCCCUGAGUGCGAGUUUCUCAUGAAAUAGAAAAGGCCGAAGCUGUGGAGCCGUUUCACACCUCACCUGCUGCUUCACACCUCACCCACCCGCCGCUUCACACCUCACCCACCCGCCGCUUCACACCUCACCCACCCGCCGCUUCACACCUCACCUGCCGUUUCACACCUCACCUGCUAGGAAGGCGUGGAGAGUCUGUGUGAGGUCUGCCCAGGUUCUGUUAUCAGAGACGUUGUAGACAAUUUCCAGGCCUUUCUCCCCGU
rnacentral:lncRNA from 10 species